UGAGUAACACGUGAGUGACCUGCCUUUUAGACUGGAACAACUUACCGAAAGGUGAGCUAAUGCCGGAUGAGUUAUAUAAGUGCAUGUUUAUAUAGGAAAAGUUGGGGAGACCUGACGCUGAAAGAUGGACCCGCGUCCCAUUAGCUAGUUGGUAGGGUAAUGACCUACCAAGGCGACGAUGGGUAGCCGGCCUGAGAGGGUGGCCGGCCACACUGGGACUGAGACACGGCCCAGACUCCUACGGAAGGCAGCAG
rnacentral:rRNA from 1 species